rnacentral:lncRNA from 1 species
AGUCGAGAUGCGGCAAAGCAGAGGCAAACAGCUAGGCACAAAGCAAUAGAGUUGUAAACUUUGUUUUUUUUUGUUUUUUGUUUUUUUUUCCUGCUGCCGCCUAUACUGCCUCUCUCCCAUAGGAAGAACACUACCUCUGGGUAGCCAGGAGCUGAGAUGCAGUCUGAAUGUUCACGGUGGCUUCUGACGUGGCAGCGUGAAUUCUCAGCUGGGCAGUCCUCUCUGGAUGCAGGACAGCUGUCGGCUAGCAGGGACACAAACAGCCAUCAAGUGGAGAGUCGUUGGGACUUUGGUCUGUGUGCAGGUGGAGCCUGGAAGACUGACAGUCUAAUUUCGGUCAUCUAAUGACUUCUUAUUUUCCUAACUAAUUGUGCUUGCUAAGCACACAAUGGUCUGGAUUAGUCUUGGAGCCUUCAUCAAGUUGGGCUGCAAAUCAGGAUGCCAGCAAGCCUGCAAUAGCCUUGGCUCCCUCCUGUGUGAUGCUAUGCUAAUUCCCAGGAUGGGUCACUCUGACAACAAAAAAGAACGCUUGACUUCUCUUGUGAUGCUAGAAGAACAUAAUUCUUUUUUGCAGCGAUUCUCUCUCUCUCUCUCUCUCUCUCUCUCUCUCUCUGUGUGUGUGUGUGUGUGUGUGUAAAAUUCAUCAAACCAAAGAGCCUAAGAGAGAUCAUUGUGGAUGUGGCUUUUAAUGAUUUGCGGGAGAAAAAGAAAAAGAAAAAGAAAAAUGACAGCCUGUGGAGACGCCGAUUGGAGAAAGCAGCACACUGUGGUUAUUGCCAAUUUGAAAUACUGGGUUUGUGAAGCCAAGCCCUAAGGGAGUAGCCGGGUAACUGAGAAAGAGAUCGUAGAUAAAGAAAUAAAAAUGACAAGCGUAAUGGAGGCUGUGCGAAGGGACUGUCAGAGCAUCCGUUCAUGGAUGGCAAUCUUGCCAGGCAGAGAUUGAAUAAUUCAUAGAUGGAAACUACCCUGCCUUCACCUUCCCAUUUAAACCGGGCAUGAGCUGAAUCUCUAAUAAAUUUUCAAGAUAAAGUAAAAUGCCAAUUUGAAUCUGAAGAGCUUUUAAAAGCAGAUGUCGCAUCCCCCCGAAUCGUUCAGUAUCUUUCACAAUUACACUCUGAGGACUGCACUUCAUCAGGAAGCACCGUCACCGGGGAAAAUGACUGUGAUUACAAUAGCAACAAUAGAAUGCCAUCGAAUGAUCUCUAAUUUACCUAAUUUGCUAAGACUGACUGGCUUAAAUACCCAUUGUGUGUUGCUGGUGCCCUGUCCGUGGAUCUCUCUCAAGACAGAACAAAAGUGGUGUACUGUGUGUGCUCCCUUGGUUCACACAGUCUGGCAGAGAUCGGUCUUCUAAGUUACAAUGUCUCUUUCGUCGGCUUUUCAUCUUUGUAUUUUUUUAUAUUUUUACUUUUUUCCUAAUGCUUUGUCCUAAAUGCCUUUUGAGGGAAAA